GUAGGGAAUAUUGGGCAAUGGAGGCAACUCUGACCCAGCCAUGCCGCGUGCAGGAUGACGGCCCUCUGGGUUGUAAACUGCUUUUAUACUGGAAGAAAAAAUACUACGUGUAGUAUACUGACGGUACCGUAAGAAUAAGGAUCGGCUAACUCCGUGCCAGCAGCCGCGGUAAUACGGAGGAUCCAAGCGUUGUCCGGAUUUAUUGGGUUUAAAGGGUGCGUAGGCGGAUCUUUAAGUCAGUGGUGAAAGCCUGCAGCUUAACUGUAGAAUUGCCAUUGAAACUGAAGAUCUUGAAUGUGGUUAAAGUAGGCGGAAUGUAUCAUGUAGCGGUGAAAUGCUUAGAUAUGAUACAGAACACCGAUAGCGAAGGCAGCUUGCUGAACCAUUAUUGACGCUGAGGCACGAAAGCGUGGGGAGCGAACAGGAUUAGAAACCCGAGUAGUCC
rnacentral:rRNA from 1 species